rnacentral:rRNA from 1 species
GAGACGGAGAAGGCUAGGCCGGCGCGGCGUUGGUUGUCCGCGUUUAAGGUAGUAGGUGGUGUGCUUAGGCAAAUCCGGGCACACAUACACUGAGAGCUGACGACGAGUCCCCAAGGGGAUGAAGUGGUUGAUGCCAUGCUUCCAGGAAAAUCUUCUAAGCUUCAGGUUAGUAGAAAUCGUACCCCAAACCGACACAGGUGGUCGGGUAGAGAAUACCAAGGCGCUUGAGAGAACUCGGCUGAAGGAACUAGGCAAAAUGGUACCGUAACUUCGGGAGAAGGUACGCUCCUGUUGGUGAAGAGACUUGCUCUCAGAGCUGACGGGAGUCGCAGAUACCAGGUGGCUGCAACUGUUUAUCAAAAACACAGCACUGUGCAAAAUCGCAAGAUGACGUAUACGGUGUGACGCCUGCCCGGUGCCGGAA